rnacentral:rRNA from 1 species
ACGAACGCUGGCGGCGUGCUUAACACAUGCAAGUCGCACGGAAAGGCCCUGCUUGCAGGGUGCUCGAGUGGCGAACGGGUGAGUAACACGUGGGUGAUCUGCCCCUUACUUUGGGAUAAGCCUGGGAAACUGGGUCUAAUACUGGAUAGGACCAUGCUGUAGGUGGUGUGGUGGAAAGAUUAGUUUCGGUAAGGGAUGAGCUCGCGGCCUAUCAGCUUGUUGGUGGGGUAAUGGCCUACCAAGGCGUCGACGGGUAGCCGGCCUGAGAGGGUGGACGGCCACAUUGGGACUGAGAUACGGCCCAGACUCCUACGGGAGGCAGCAGUGGGGAAUAUUGCACAAUGGGCGCAAGCCUGAUGCAGCGACGCCGCGUGGGGGAUGACGGCCUUCGGGUUGUAAACUCCUUUCAGCCAUGACGAAGCCCUUGUGGUGACGGUAGUGGUGGAAGAAGCACCGGCUAACUACGU